rnacentral:rRNA from 1 species
AUUGAACGAUGGCGGCAGGCCUAACACAUGCAAGUCGAGCGAGCGGGGGACGGGUGAGUAAUGUAUGGGGACUGCCCGAUAGAGGGGGAUAACUACUGGAAACGGUGGCUAAUACAGCAUACUGUUGGAUAACCCAUAUGGGAUUAGCUAGUAGGUAAGGUAAGUGCUUACCUAGGCGACGAUCCCUAGCUGGUCUGAGAGGAUGAUCAGCCACACUGGGACUGAGACACGGCCCAGACUCCUACGGAGGCAGCAGUGGGGAAUAUUGUACAAUGGGCGCAAGCCUGAUGCAGCCAUGCCGCGUGUAUGAAGAAGGCCCUAGGGUUGUAAAGUACUUUCAGUCGGGAGGCGUUACCGACAGAAGAAGCACCGGCUAACUCCGUGCCAGCAGCCGCGGUAAUAC